CCUGUGAUCCCAGCUACUUGGGAGGCUGAGGCAGGAGAAUGGCUUGAACCUGGGAGGUGGAGCUUGCAGUGAGCCGAGAUUGCGCCACUGCACUCCAGCCUGGGCAACAGAGCGAGACUGUGUCUCAAAACAAAACAAAGAACAUGUCACUGAAAUGUAGGCCUGAGGGAAAGAAGCAAACGAUCAGUGGAAUUUUUUUCUGCCCAGUGUUAAAAAUUGAAAUUGACCUCCAAGCUGUCAAUGCCUUCAACUCUACCAUUGCCCAACAAUUCUCAAAAAGAUACAGGGUUUGGACAUCAGACUUCAGAUAAACAUACUCCCACAAGCAGGAGGAAAAACCACUCUGCCCGUGUGGGUUAAGGCUAGAGGAGCUUUAGAUGAACAAAAGCACCAAAUAAUAUGGAAUGCAGUUUGGAAAACAAGGAUCGGUUAGAGGAAGAUGGUAAUUUACAGAGGAGCUUCACUGGGAAAAUUCAGACUUCAGAAUAAGCUGAAGAUCUUCCUGAAUUCACACAAGAGAGGGAGAGGGUAUCUUCUACCUUAGAAAAUAAAAUAAAACAGAGUUGUUCCUGGAGGAACCACCUUAGAUUUUGGAGCAGAAAUUGAUGUGAAUCUGGCUCAGCCUCUAAGGGCAAAUUCUCAACAAUCAAGAUGUCAGGGAGUGGGGUUCAGUGGUCCUCCCACUUCUGAUUUCCUAAGAACAAGCUGAUUGGAGGCUGUUGGCGCCGAGAAGCUAUAAGCAGAACUAGAAGCAGAGCAGGCUAUAUGAUUGAUUAGGGGUGCAUAUUUGCCUUUCUCAGUUGGUCCUAAGUGGAAGUGGAGACAGAAAUGAAGAAAUCUGGCAGUUAUUGACCAAGCCCUUACUGUUUGAGGCCAAUUGCUGUAGAGGAUUUGUUUGGCUUCCUUCCAGGGCUGGUUGCUACAGAGGUUAUGGGACAAAGGUCUGUGUUUAUAUUUGAUUCUGUCCAUUGUCCUUUUGUAUAGUCAGUCUCUCACUAGCGAUGUAUGACAGUUCCAGCUGCUCUGUAUUCUCACCAGUACUUGGUACUGUUUGUUUUGGAUGCAAG
rnacentral:lncRNA from 1 species